UUGAUACUCCCUCCAUACGGAAAUACUUGUCAUCAAAAUAAACAAAAGGGGAUGUAUCUAGACGUAUUUUAGUUCUAGAUAUGCCCCUUUUUAUCCAUUUUGAUGACAAGUAUUUUCGGACGGAGGGAGUAUGAC
rfam:Triticum aestivum genome assembly, contig: Triticum_aestivum_CS42_TGACv1_scaffold_223622_3B